CUGGAGUAGCAGAAAAUAUUCCUUAUUAAACAGUUAAAAGACUAAGAAAGAGACAGCGAUGCACUGCAUCUUUUCAGAGAGAAACAAGCCAUGUUACCAGGACUUUGCUAUGGAGCUGCUGCCACAGGACUGUGUGCUGAUAUCUAGAUCAUUAGACAGCAGGAGAAAAGCCAGUGUGUUCAUGGAAACAGUGCUUCCUCAGACAAGUGGAAGAUCUUCCUGGAGCUUACUAGAUUCCCAGCUGAAUCCCCUGAAGCAUUGGUCUUGUAAUGUGACAUGAUGAGAGAGUGAGUGCAUUUAUUGUUACCUGGAUUAUAGCUGUGUUUCGCACUCCAUCAGCCUAAAAGGAGCAGAAGAUCCACAAAAGCCUCCAAACCAGACUGACAAGGGAAGAGCGCUCAUAGAAGUGAUGUGGAUGUCCAAAGUCACAUACCCACUCAAAGAGAAUGUGCCAGGUGCAGAAUCCUUCUUGCCGAUCUGUUUUGCAUGUCAAAACUUAUAUUUUUAAAUUUGCUUUUUUUUUUUUUUUUUUCCCUAGCAGAUAUAGAGCCAAUAACAUAGUCAGGUGGUCUUGGAAAGAGGUUAACAGACCAUUUGUUAGAAGGAGUUCAGUGCCAGCGUCUGGAAAGUCUGAAUUUGUAUCCCCUUGCAGAUCACACUGAUUUUACUAAUCUCAAGGUCAGGGGAAAGAAAAAAAAAAAGGAUUGCAUGACAAUAUUCCACUUUAUCUCACUUACUUAAUGUAGCAUUUCUGUGCAAGUAUUUUACC